rnacentral:misc_RNA from 1 species
AAAAUAACCACAUCUGACAAAUAGUGCACAUAGCAUGCAUAAAGGAUAAAUUAAGUGAAGAUUGCCUCCCGCCUGAGAUGGUUUGUCCAUGUCCAACGUUGAUUCCAUAUGCCCCGAGCCAUAUGCAAGACAUUUCAAUGAUUUGAGGCGCUUAAAAGGGAUGAGGUAGACUAAACAAACAGGGAAGGAAGAUGUCAAAAAUACCUAACACCCUUGGAAUCAAUAUACAUAGCUAAGAAUUGAAACAAUGAAAG